AUUGAACGCUGGCGGCAUGCUUUACACAUGCAAGUCGAACGGGUGCGGGGGGCAACUCCUGCAUUAGUGGCGAACGGGUGAGUAAUGCAUCGGAACGUACCGUGUAGAGGGGGAUAACGAGUCGAAAGAUUCGCUAAUACCGCAUACGUCCUGAGGGGGAAAGCGGGGGACCCGAGAGGGCCUAGCGCUAUACGAGCGGCCGAUGUCCGAUUAGCUAGUUGGGGGGGGAAAGGCCUACCAAGGCGACGAGCUGUAGCUGGUCUGGGAGGACGACCAGCCACACUGGGACUGAGACACGGCCCAGACUCCUACGGGAGGCAGCAGUGGUGAAUUUUGGACAAUGGGCGAAAGCCUGAUCCAGCAAUGCCGCGUGCAGGAAGAAGGCCUUCGGGUUGUAAACUGCUUUUGUACGGGGCGAAAAGGUUCUCUCUAAUCCAGAGGGCUCAUGACGGUACCGUAAGAAUAAGCACCGGCUAACUACGUGCCAGCCGCCGCAGUAAUAC
rnacentral:rRNA from 1 species